UACAUGGGGUGCAAACGUUGCUCGGAAUUACUGGGCGUAAAGAGCUCGUAGGUGGUUUGUCGCGUUGUUCGUGAAAACUCACAGCUUAACUGUGGGCGUGCGGGCGAUACGGGCAGACUGGAGUACUGCAGGGGAGACUGGAAUUCCUGGUGUAGCGGUGGAAUGCGCAGAUAUCAGGAGGAACACCGACGGCGCAGGCAGCGUCCUGGCCGCGACCUGACACUGAGGCACGAAAGCUGGGGGAGCAAACAGG
rnacentral:rRNA from 1 species